GGCUCAGGAUGAACGCUGGCGGCGUGCUUAACACAUGCAAGUCGAACGAACCUUCGGGUUAGUGGCGGACGGGUGAGUAACGCGUGGGAAUCUGCCCUCAGGAGGGGGAUAACGGUUGGAAACGGCCGCUAAUACCCCAUAUGCCGAAAGGUGAAAUGAAUUUCGCCUGAGGAUGAGCCCGCGUCUGAUUAGCUAGUUGGUGUGGUAAUGGCUCACCAAGGCUUCGAUCAGUAGCUGGUCUGAGAGGAUGAUCAGCCACACUGGGACUGAGACACGGCCCAGACUCCUACGGGAGGCAGCAGUGGGGAAUUUUCCGCAAUGGGCGAAAGCCUGACGGAGCAACGCCGCGUGAGGGAUGAAGGCCUCUGGGCUGUAAACCUCUUUUCUCAAGGAAGAAGAUAUGACGGUACUUGAGGAAUAAGCCACGGCUAAUUCCGUGCCAGCAGCCGCGGUAAUACGGGAGUGGCAAGCGUUAUCCGGAAUUAUUGGGCGUAAAGCGUCCGCAGGCGGCCCUUCAAGUCUGCUGUUAAAACGUGGAGCUUAACUCCAUCAUGGCAGUGGAAACUGUUGGGCUUGAGUGUGGUAGGGGCAGAGGGAAUUCCCGGUGUAGCGGUGAAAUGCGUAGAUAUCGGGAAGAACACCAGUGGCGAAGGCGCUCUGCUGGGCCAUAACUGACGCUCAUGGACGAAAGCCAGGGGAGCGAAAGGGAUUAGAUACCCCUGUAGUCCUGGCCGUAAACGAUGAACACUAGGUGUCGGGGGAAUCGACCCCUUCGGUGUCGUAGCUAACGCGUUAAGUGUUCCGCCUGGGGAGUACGCACGCAAGUGUGAAACUCAAAGGAAUUGACGGGGGCCCGCACAAGCGGUGGAGUAUGUGGUUUAAUUCGAUGCAACGCGAAGAACCUUACCAGGGUUUGACAUCCUGCGAACCUUUAAGAAAUUAGAGGGUGCCUUCGGGAACGCAGUGACAGGUGGUGCAUGGCUGUCGUCAGCUCGUGUCGUGAGAUGUUGGGUUAAGUCCCGCAACGAGCGCAACCCACGUUUUUAGUUGCCAGCAUUUAGUUGGGCACUCUAGAAAGACCGCCGGUGAUAAACCGGAGGAAGGUGUGGAUGACGUCAAGUCAUCAUGCCCCUUACAUCCUGGGCUACACACGUACUACAAUGCUACGGACAAAGGGCAGCAAGCUCGCGAGAGCAAGCAAAUCCCAUAAACCGUGGCUCAGUUCAGAUCGUAGGCUGCAACUCGCCUACGUGAAGUAGGAAUCGCUAGUAAUCGCAGGUCAGCAUACUGCGGUGAAUACGUUCCCGGGCCUUGUACACACCGCCCGUCACACCAUGGAAGUUGGCCACGCCCGAAGUCGUUACUCCAACCCUUGUGGAGGAGGACGCCGAAGGUGGGGCUAAUGACUGGGGUGAAGUCGUAACAAGGUAGCCGUACCGGAAGGUGCGGCUGGAUCACCUCCUAA
rnacentral:rRNA from 1 species